GACGAACGCUGGCGGCGUGCCUAAUACAUGCAAGUCGAACGCCGUUGCGAACGGGUGAGUAACGCGUAUGUAACUGCCUCAUAGCGGGGGAUAACUAUUGGAAACGAUAGCUAAUACCGCAUUCUUUGAGCUGGACCUGCGUUGUAUUAGCUAGUUGGUGAGGUAAAGGCUCACCAAGGCGACGAUACAUAGCCGAACUGAGAGGGUGAUCGGCAAAACGGGGAAUGGGACACGGCCCAGAAUCCUACGGGAGGCAGGAAGAGGGAAUCUUCGGCAAAGGGCGGAAGGCUGACCGAGGAACGCCGGGGGGGUGAAGAAGGUUGUCGGGUCGUAAAGCUCUGUUGUGAGAGAAGCGGUAACUGACGAGGAAGGGACGGCUAACUACGUGCCAGCAGCCGCGGUAAUAC
rnacentral:rRNA from 1 species